CCACAGCACGCGGCCUCCCUGGCGCCCC
rnacentral:sRNA from 1 species